AACGAACGCUUGCGGCAUGCUUAAAACAUGCAAGUCGAACGAGAAAGUGGCUUCGGCCAUGAGUAGAGUGGCGCACGGGUGAGUAACACGUAGCUAACGUUCCUCUUCGCUGGGGAUAACUUCGAGAAAUCGGAGCUAAUACCGAAUGAUCUAAAAUGGUCCUUGGACUAUUUUGGUAAAGCCUUCGGGCGCGAAGAGAUCGGGCUGCGUCCCAUUAGCUAGUUGGGGGGGUAAUGGCCCACCAAGGCAACGAUGGGUAGCUGGUCUGAGAGGAUGAUCAGCCACACUGGAACUGAAACACGGUCCAGACUCCCACGGGAGGCAGCAGUUGGGAAUAUUGGACAAUGGGGGAAACCCUGAUCCAGCAAUGCCGCGUGAAUGAUGAAGGCCUUCGGGUCGUAAAGUUCUUUUAGUGGGGACGAAGGGCAACUUGACGGUACCCACAGAAAAAGCACCGGCUAACUCCGUG
rnacentral:rRNA from 1 species